rnacentral:rRNA from 1 species
CUAGAGAUAGAAAGUUACUCGGUACAUCGGUGACAGGUGGUGCAUGGUUGUCGUCAGCUCGUGUCGUGAGAUGUUGGGUUAAGUCCCGCAACGAGCGCAACCCCUAUUGUUAGUUGCCAUCAUUCAGUUGGGCACUCUAGCGAGACUGCCGGGUAAUAAACCGGAGGAAGUGGGAUGACGUCAAAUCAUCAUGCCCCUUAUGACCUGGGCUACACACGUGCUACAAUGGUUGGUACAACGAGUUGCGAGUCGGUGACGGCGAGCUAAUCUCUUAAAGCCAAUCUCAGUUCGGAUUGUAGGCUGCAACUCGCCUACAUGAAGUCGGAAUCGCUAGUAAUCGCGGAUCAGCACGCCGCGGUGAAUACGUUCCCGGGCCUU